CUUACCUGAGUGGCCAUAUUAUAUACAAAUGGCUUCUGCAAAAGUAGACACGGCGUGAUAUUGGUACGGCUCAUCUUAAUUCAACCACUAUAUCAACGAUUGAGACGAGCCGAAUCAAUAUCACUCUUGUUUGCUUCAUUGCAUAUAUAUAUAUACUAGCAGCUUUUUCUUUAGAAACCAAACUAUGCCUUGUUGUUUGUGCUUUUUUUUCACUAUGAAUGAAAGAAGUUCCAUGAAUCCCUUACAUGACAUGUUGGAGUCUCACAUGCAGUUUUAUUUUAUAGGAAGAAGAGCUUACUAUAGUUACAUUAUCUGCUUAGCACUGAAGAAUAGAAACCUCAGAAAAUGGAUUCUGCGGAAGUGGACUGGCGUGGUAUUGCUUCUGUUCAUCUUUGCAUAUGAAUUUAAUCACAUCCUCUUAAAUAAGACGAGCCGAAUCAAUACCACUCUAGUACACUUCACUGCAUAUAUGGCUGUUCUUCCUAAGUCAAACUAUGCUGAUUUCAGAAAUAAUGAAAGGAAAAGUGGAACUCCAUUAUAUUGCUCUUAUUCAUGCACGAAACAAAUUAACCACAGAUCACAUGUAUUUUCCACAUGAGAUUCGAGCCAAAAUGAUCAUUAUGUCGGCAAAGCUCUCUCUAAUACAUCUGUGUCUCAGAUUCAAGACUAUUGGUUUAAUUGAAACAACUUUGUGUCAGCUGAUGCAUAAGCUUGGUGGUAACGUAGCAGUUCUCUUUUCAUUAAAUUGUUGUAAUACUAUUUAAUUACACCUUUGAUUCGUUUGGCUAGCCUGAACUUAUAGGAAGAGGCCUCCAGCUAGAAAUCAUCACCAGAAGUGUUGUUUUUUGACAAAGAUAGAGACAAGCAGUGAUGGAAUUCGUUUUGCCCCAGAAGUUUAUUGCACAUGCCUGUAUCCCUUUUUAUUUAUUUAAUUAUAUAUAAAAAAUUAUCCUUUGUCCUAUGCUUUUUAUCCCUUCUAACGUCUUUUUGCAUUAUAAGAAAGAGGGUGUUCAAAUUUCUUAUACUUUGCGUUGUUACCUAUUUAAUACUAAUUGCAGGAAACAAAUUAACUAUGCUACGACAGCAUGCAAGAACAAAGGGAAUAAAGUCUUCUGUUCUGGGACAUGUUCAUCAAUGAGGACAAGACCAGAAUCUUCAUCUAAUUAAGUAUAUACCAGUUGUUCGUUCAUUCUGAGUUCGAAUUCACGUAGUAGUGAAGUUGAAUUUUUCGUGGUAUAUUCCCUAAACUUCCAGAUCUAUGGCGAUAUAUUUCAUUAAUGGACCGAUGCACUAUUAAGCCGUGAAACUAAAUCAACUGAUACAGUAUGAAUGUAUGAUAUAACAGCCAAUGUAUUGGCAUUUCCAAAGCAGCCGAGUGCUAAUGUACUUUAAUUUUAAUUAUCAACUCAAUGUAAGCCAUUGUAGUUUUUCU